rnacentral:rRNA from 1 species
ACUCCUACGGGAGGCAGCAGUGGGGAAUAUUGCACAAUGGGCGCAAGCCUGAUCCAGCCAUGCCGCGUGUAUGAANAAGGCCUUCGGGUUGUAAAGNACUUUCAGUAGGGAGGAAAGGUUAGCCGUUAAUAACGGUUAGUCUGUGACGUUACCUACAGAAGAAGCACCGGCUAACUCC